UCAGUUCGGACUGUAGGCUGCAACUCGCCUACACGAAGUUGGAAUUGCUAGUAAUCGUGGAUCAGCAUGCCACGGUGAAUACGUUCCCGGGUCUUGUACACACCGCCCGUCACACCAUGGGAGCUGGUAACACCCGAAGUCAGUAGUCUAACCGCAAGGAGGACGCUGCCGAAGGUGGGAUUAGCGACUGGGGUGAAGUCGUAACAAGGUAAC
rnacentral:rRNA from 1 species